AUUGAACGCUGGCGGCAGGCCUAACACAUGCAAGUCGAGCGGAUGAAGGGAGCUUGCUCCUGGAUUCAGCGGCGGACGGGUGAGUAAUGCCUAGGAAUCUGCCUGGUAGUGGGGGAUAACAUCCGGAAACGGGCGCUAAUACCGCAUACGUCCUGAGGGAGAAAGUGGGGGAUCUUCGGACCUCACGCUAUCAGAUGAGCCUAGGUCGGAUUAGCUAGUUGGUGGGGUAAAGGCCUACCAAGGCGACGAUCCGUAACUGGUCUGAGAGGAUGAUCAGUCACACUGGAACGGAGACACGGGCCAGACUCCUACGGGGGGCAGCAGGGGGAAAUAUUGGAAAAGGGGGGAAAGCCUGAUCCAGCCAUGCCGCGUGUGGGAAGAAGGUCUUCGGUUUGUAAAGCACUUUAAGUUGGGAGGAAGGGCAGUAAGUUAAUACCUUGCUGUUUUGACGUUACAAACAGAAUAAGCACCGGCUAACUUCG
rnacentral:rRNA from 1 species